GACGAACGCUGGCGGCGUGCUUAACACAUGCAAGUCGAACGGAAAGGCCCUGCUUGCAGGGUACUCGAGUGGCGAACGGGUGAGUAACACGUGGGUGAUCUGCCCUGCACUUCGGGAUAAGCCGGGGAAACGGGGUCUAAUACCGGAUAGGAGCCAUUUUUAGUGUGAUGGUUGGAAAGUUUUUUCGGUGUAGGAUGAGCUCGCGGCCUAUCAGCUUGUUGGUGGGGUAAUGGCCUACCAAGGCGGCGACGGGUAGCCGGCCUGAGAGGGUGGACGGCCACCUUGGGACUGAGAUACGGCCCAGACUCCUACGGGAGGCAGCAGUGGGGAAUAUUGCACAAUGGGCGCAAGCCUGAUGCAGCGACGCCGCGUGGGGGAUGACGGCCUUCGGGUUGUAAACUCCUUUCGCUAGGGACGAAGCUUUUUGUGACGGUACCUAGAUAAGAAGCACCGGCUAACUACGUG
rnacentral:rRNA from 1 species